rnacentral:lncRNA from 1 species
GAAGAUGAUGUUGAAGGGGAUUCCUGAUGAGAUUACUCGCCUUCUUGAGCACCAAAGAAGCUCAUUCAGCUGUAUCACAAAAAUCAGCAAAACAGUCAAACUAGGGGAUAUAAAAAAUAAAAAAAAUAAAAAAAAAAGGAAAAGGAGAAAAAAGGAGGGUGAAAAAGAUGAAAAAAUCAAAAACCAGGAAAAUUUUUUCAAAAUUUUUC